rnacentral:rRNA from 1 species
UGCCAGCAGCCGCGGUAAUACGAAGGGUGCAAGCGUUGUUCGGAUUUACUGGGCGUAAAGCGCGCGCAGGCGGCUUUUUAAGUCAGAUGUGAAAGUCCACGGCUCAACCGUGGAAGUGCAUUUGAAACUGGGAGGCUUGAGUAUUGGAGGGGGUGGUGGAAUUCCCGGUGUAGAGGUGAAAUUCGUAGAUAUCGGGAGGAACACCAGUGGCGAAGGCGGCUUUCUGGCCCAUUCUUGACGCUGAGGCGCGAAAGCUAGGGGAGCGAACGGGAUUAGAUA